UACGUAGGGUGCGAGCGUUAAUCGGAAUUACUGGGCGUAAAGCGUGCGCAGGCGGUUCGUUGUGUCCGUCGUGAAAGCCCCGGGCUUAACCUGGGAACUGCGUUUCUAACUGGCAGGCUUGAGUGUGGCAGAGGGGGGGUGGAAUUCACGUGUAGCAGUGAAAUGCGUAGAGAAUGUGGAGGAACACCGAUGGCGGAAGGGACAGCCCCCCUGGGCUGAACCACAUGCGCCUCGAUACAACGAAGACGUAGGGAGUCGGAACAACGGA
rnacentral:rRNA from 1 species